rnacentral:rRNA from 1 species
AUUGAACGCUGGCGGCAUGCCUUACACAUGCAAGUCGAACGGUAACGGGCCUUCGGGUGCCGACGAGUGGCGAACGGGUGAGUAAUGCAUCGGAACGUACCUUUCAGUGGGGGAUAACGUAGCGAAAGUUACGCUAAUACCGCAUAUUCUGUGAGCAGGAAAGCAGGGGAUCGCAAGACCUUGCGCUGAUUGAGCGGCCGAUGUCAGAUUAGCUAGUUGGUGAGGUAAAGGCUCACCAAGGCGACGAUCUGUAGCGGGUCUGAGAGGAUGAUCCGCCACACUGGAACUGAGACACGGUCCAGACUCCUACGGGAGGCAGCAGUAAGGAAUCUUCCACAAUGGGGGCAACCCUGAUGGAGCAAUACCGCGUGCAGGAUGAAGCGUUUCGGCGUGUAAACUGCUUUUAUCACCGAAGAUUAUGACUGUAGGUGAAGAAUAAGGACCGGCUAACUACGUGCCAGCAGCCGCGGUAAU